CACGUGGGCAACCUGCCUGUAAGACUGGGAUAACUUCGGGAAACCGAAGCUAAUACCGGAUAGGAUCUUCUCCUUCAUGGGAGAUGAUUGAAAGAUGGUUUCGGCUAUCACUUACAGAUGGGCCCGCGGUGCAUUAGCUAGUUGGUGAGGUAACGGCUCACCAAGGCAACGAUGCAUAGCCGACCUGAGAGGGUGAUCGGCCACACUGGGACUGAGACACGGCCCAGACUCCUACGGGAGGCAGCAGUAGGGAAUCUUCCGCAAUGGACGAAAGUCUGACGGAGCAACGCCGCGUGAGUGAUGAAGGCUUUCGGGUCGUAAAACUCUGUUGUUAGGGAAGAACAAGUACGAGAGUAACUGCUUGUACCUUGACGGUACCUAACCAGAAAGCCACGGCUAACUACGUGCCAGCAGCCGCGGUAAUACGUAGGUGGCAAGCGUUAUCCGGAAUUAUUGGGCGUAAAGCGCGCGCAGGCGGUUUCUUAAGUCUGAUGUGAAAGCCCACGGCUCAACCGUGGAGGGUCAUUGGAAACUGGGGAACUUGAGUGCAGAAGAGAAAAGCGGAAUUCCACGUGUAGCGGUGAAAUGCGUAGAGAUGUGGAGGAACACCAGUGGCGAAGGCGGCUUUUUGGUCUGUAACUGACGCUGAGGCGCGAAAGCGUGGGGGAGCAAACAGGAUUAGAUACCCUGGUAGUCCACGCCGUAAACGAUGAGUGCUAAGUGUUAGAGGGUUUCCGCCCUUUAGUGCUGCAGCUAACGCAUUAA
rnacentral:rRNA from 1 species